rnacentral:rRNA from 1 species
ACGGAAGGCAGCAGUGGGGAAUAUUGGACAAUGGGGGAAACCCUGAUCCAGCGACGCCGCGUGAGUGAAGAAGUAUUUCGGUAUGUAAAGCUCUAUCAGCAGGGAAGAAGAAAUGACGGUACCUGACUAAGAAGCCCCGGCUAACUACGUGCCAGCAGCCGCGGUAAUACGUAGGGGGCAAGCGUUAUCCGGAUUUACUGGGUGUAAAGGGAGCGCAGGCGGCAGGGCAAGUCUGAUGUGAAAACCCGGGGCUUAACUUCGGGACUGCAUUGGAAACUGCUCAGCUUGAGUGUCGGAGAGGUAAGUGUAAUUCCUAGUGUAGCGGUGAAAUGCGUAGAUAUUAGGAGGAACACCAGUGGCGAAGGCGGCUUACUGGACGACAACUGACGCUGAGGCUCGAAAGCGUGGGGAGCAAACAGGAUUAGAUACCCUGGUA